CAUACAUCAACACUGAACACAGUUACCAGAAGCACCCGCCUGCAGCCGGCAGAGGAGGCUGUGGGCAGACGGCUGCAGCUCGGAUGAUGAGGACGGAACCUGUCCUCCAGAGGAGCAGAGAGUACAGGGAGCGGACAACCUACCUGAACAGCAGGGUGUGAGCGUGGUUGGUAGUGACGGCAGCUGUGAGCGGCGGCUGGACGAUGGACACUCGGAUGCUCAGUGCCCCAGGCAGAUGAACCUCUUGACCCACAUUGAGGCCAUACAGAAUGAGGUGAACACCAGGAUGGAUGUCAUCGAGAAGGAGCUGGAUGUGCUGGAGAGAUGGCUGGAUUUCUCAGGAGGACGCGAUGUUCCAGAACCACUGGCCAGACUUCCGCAGCUGAAACGUCACAUCAAGCAACUGCUGGCAGACCUGGGCAAGGUGCAGGAAAUGGCCUGUUGCUGCCCACACUGAGGCCAAGGGGGACAUGGAGGGGGGGCUGGAGGA